rnacentral:tRNA from 1 species
GGGGAUAUAGCUCAGUUGGUAGAGUGCUUGCCUUGCAUGCACAAAGUCCUGGGUUCAAUCCCCAGCCCCU